CUUGGUCAUUUAGAGGAAGUAAAAGUCGUAACAAGGUUUCCGUAGGUGAACCUGCGGAAGGAUCAUUAAUGGGUUCAUGGCCUCCGGGCCGCAAUCCCCACCCUUCGCAACCGCGGCCACGAUUCGGCGCAAGGGCGGGACCCCCUCUGUUCGCGGAGGGGCCCCGUCCGCCGGAAUCACGCAACCCUGCCUGGAAAAUGCAGUCUGAGAAAAAUGAAAAAUUAGCGAAAACUUUCAACAACGGAUCUCUUGGUUCUGGCAACGAUGAAGAACGCAGCGAAAUGCGAUAAGUAAUGUGAAUUGCAGAAUUCAGUGAAUCAUCGAAUCUUUGAACGCACAUUGCGCCCCCUGGUAUUCCGGGGGGCACACCUGUUCGAGCGCCAUUUCAACCCUCGAGCCCUGCUCGGUGAUGGGCGACGCCUGGAUUCACCAGGCGCGCCCGAAACUCGUGGCGCCGUCGUCCGGCCCUGAGCGUAGCAAGAGAAAUCCCUCGCUCGGUGGACCGUCCGGCGGCCGCCCCGACCACUUUCACAAGGUUGGCCUCGGAUCAGGUGGGAAUACCCGCUGAACUUAAGCAUAUCAAUAAGCGGAGGA
rnacentral:rRNA from 1 species